UUCCCAAAUCUUUGAUGUUUCUUUUGUAUCGCUAAUUUCAUUUUAUUACAACACAACUCUUACAUUUUUUUCUUAGACUUGGCAGUAGACCCAACAUUUUCAGAAACUUUCUUAGGCAUUCUAGGAGUUUUCUGCACAACAACAACUUCUUCAACAAUUUUACCAAUAUCCUCAUUCAUUUCUUCACUAACUUACUCAAUUUCCUCAAUGACUAUAUCAUUGUUCUUGAUAUUUACACUAACAUUGUCUUGGUCAUCUCACUAGCAAAU
rnacentral:lncRNA from 1 species